AAGGGAAACCGAGUCUUAACUGGGCGUUAAGUUGCAGGGUAUAGACCCGAAACCCGGUGAUCUAGCCAUGGGCAGGUUGAAGGUUGGGUAACACUAACUGGAGGACCGAACCGACUAAUGUUGAAAAAUUAGCGGAUGACUUGUGGCUGGGGGUGAAAGGCCAAUCAAACCGGGAGAUAGCUGGUUCUCCCCGAAAGCUAUUUAGGUAGCGCCUCGUGAAUUCAUCUCCGGGGGUAGAGCACUGUUUCGGCAAGGGGGUCAUCCCGACUUACCAACCCGAUGCAAACUGCGAAUACCGGAGAAUGUUAUCACGGGAGACACACGGCGGGUGCUAACGUCCGUCGUGAAGAGGGAAACAACCCAGACCGCCAGCUAAGGUCCCAAAGUCAUGGUUAAGUGGGAAACGAUGUGGGAAGGCCCAGACAGCCAGGAUGUUGGCUUAGAAGCAGCCAUCAUUUAAAGAAAGCGUAAUAGCUCACUGGUCGAGUCGGCCUGCGCGGAAGAUGUAACGGGGCUAAACCAUGCACCGAAGCUGCGGCAGCGACACUGUGUGUUGUUGGGUAGGGGAGCGU
rnacentral:rRNA from 1 species